rnacentral:lncRNA from 1 species
AUAAAAGAUAAUUUAUUCUGAAAAGUUAUUUUUAGAGACGUGAUGUUUUACUUAAAUGUAAAUUCUGCCCGAUUUAGAAUCUAUCAUAAUGGAAUCAUAGAAUGAAAUAAGAAUUAUGAAUGGGCUUACAGACAUCAAGAACAUGCCUGGGAUUUGUCAGAGGGUUAGACUCUCAUUUUCAAAACAUUUACAAGCCUUUAUCGAGUCUGACGGAGGGCAUUUCGAGCAUUUAUUGUGAUGCCCUUCUGCAGUUUUGUUAUCAUCAUUCAGUUUCAGUUUUACUUAAAUGUAAAUUCUGCCCGAUUUAGAAUCUAUCAUAAUGGAAUCAUAGAAUGAAAUAAGAAUUACGAAUGGGCUUACAGACAUCAAGAACAUGCCUGGGAUUUGUCAGAGGGUUAGACUCUCAUUUUCAAAACAUUUACAAGCCUUUAUCGAGUCUGACGGAGGGCAUUUCGAGCAUUUAUUGUGAUGCCCUUCUGCAGUUUUGUUAUCAUCAUUCAGUUUUGCUAAAAUAUGUAAAAAAUCAUCACAUUUAUUGUGUUAGGCUACAUUUCUAAAUUUCAUUGUCCAAGCUUUCCUUUGUAAUUGUAUGCUUUGGAAUAUUUUGAUUUCCAUAAUAUAUGUAUUUAGCAUUUUUGUGAUGGAUAGAUGGUUGCAUUAUGC